rnacentral:misc_RNA from 1 species
UCCCCGUUGCCGGGGCAGUCUAGCUAGAAAAAUUCAACUAACUAUAAGGGUUGCGCUCGUUGAUGGACUUAACCAAACAUCUCACGACACGAGCUGACGACGGCCAUGCAACACCUGUCACUGCGCUCAAUAAAGCACUUUCUCCUUUCGGAGAAAUUCGCAGGAUGUCAAACCUUGGUAAGGUUCUUCGCUUACCAUCGAAUUAAAGAACACGCUCCACCGCUUGUGCGGGUCCCCGUCAAUUCCUUUAUGUUUUAAGCUUGCGCUCGUACUCCACAGGCGGGAUGCUUAACGCGUUAGCUUCGCUACUACGCGGGUCGAUACGCAUAACAGCUAGCAUCCAUCGUUUACGGCGUGGACUAA